rnacentral:rRNA from 1 species
GACCGGCGCACGGGUGAGUAACGCGUAUGCAACCUACCCAUAACUGGGGGAUAACCCGUCGAAAGGCGGCCUAAUACCCCAUAAUAACGCUGAUCCUCAUGGCGAUUAUUGUAAAGAAUUUCGGUUAUGGAUGGGCAUGCGUGACAUUAGGUAGUUGGUGAGGUAACGGCUCACCAAGCCCACGAUGUCUAGGGGUUCUGAGAGGAAGGUCCCCCACACUGGUACUGAGACACGGACCAGACUCCUACGGGAGGCAGCAGUGAGGAAUAUUGGUCAAUGGGCGAGAGCCUGAACCAGCCAAAUCGCGUGAAGGAUGAAGGUAUUAUGUAUUGUAAACUUCUUUUGUCAGGGAAUAAAGUGCAGCACGUGUGCUGUUUUGUAUGUACCUGAAGAAUAAGCAUCGGCUAACUCCGUGCCAGCAGCCGCGGUAAUACGGAGGAUGCGAGCGUUAUCCGGAUUUAUUGGGUUUAAAGGGUGCGUAGGCGGACUAUUAAGUCAGCGGUGAAAGUUCUCGGCUCAACCGAGGAAUUGCCGUUGAAACUGGUAGUCUUGAGUGUACAUGAGGUGGGCGGAAUUCGUAGUGUACCGGUGAAAUGCUUAUAUAUUACAAAGAACUCCAAUUGCGAGGCAGCUCACUAGGCUACAACUGACGCUGACGCACGAAGGUGCGGGGAUCAAACAGGAUUAGAUACCCUGGUAGUCCGCACAGUAAACGAUGAAUACUAACUGUUUGCGAUACACAGCAAGUGGUACAGUGAAUACAUUAAGUAUUCCACCUGGGGAGUACGCCAGCAACAGUGAAACUCAAAGGAAUUGACGGGUGCCCGCACAAGCUUAGAAACAUGUGGUUUAAUUCGAUG